CUUUUUGGUGGGAAAAGAGGCAUCAUGGGAGGAAGAAGGCUAUCCUUUGGUAGGUGGGAGAAGCCAUCCUUUUAGGACACAGAUAAUGGGUUGGUAUCGUGUGACGAGAAAGCAGACGUCUGUAUCUUCUUCCGCUAGUGCCCGUCUUUACAGGCUAAGAAACAUAACUGCUGGCAUCAGGAGCAGCAAGAGGAUUUGGACUCCAGUGUAUUUGUGGUCCUCCAGCUGGAAGAUUACAGCAGAGAUUCUAAAGCAAAAGGCACAGAGUGAGAUGGCAGAUAGUGGCUGCUUGGAUAAGAACAGAAGAGAAUUGGGAAUCCAUGCUGAGCUCAAGGGGAAACGCAAACAACAGCCAGUUCAGAAAAUCCUCCUGCUGCCCAGUAUCACCACCAGGGAUUACUGCCGCCAUCUUCUGGACAUACGUGGGAUUUAAAAAUGGAAUCUGCAAUGAUAAAUGUAACUGCGUUGUUUGCUUUAAAUGUGCCAAUAAAUUUAAUGGGGAAAGAAAAUAAAAAUAAAAAUGGAAUCUGAAGAGUCACACUCUGGUCAGCCGUGGCUUUUGUUUAGUGAAAACAAACAAAACAGCAGCAGCAAAAAAUCACGAUAACAGCAACAACAAUAGACGCUAGAGAAGACAAG
rnacentral:lncRNA from 1 species